rnacentral:rRNA from 1 species
UCGGGAAUCUUGCACAAUGGGCGAAAGUCUGAUGCAGCAACGCCGUGUGAGCGAGGAAGGCCUUAGGGUCGUAAAGCUCUGUUGUUGGGGACGAAGGGCGAAGGGUUAAUAGCCCCUAGCCUGACGAUACCCUUCGAGGAAGCCCCGGCUAACUACGUGCCAGCAGCCGCGGUAAUACGGAGGGUGCAAGCGUUAUCCGGAAUCACUGGGCGUAAAGGGCACGUAGGCGGUCUUCUAAGUCCGAUGUUAAAGCGUGGGGCUCAACCCCAUCACGGCGUUGGAUACUGGUAGGCUUGACGACUGGAGAGGUGAGUAGAAUUACCAGUGUAGCGGUGGAAUGCGUAGAUACUGGUAGGAAUACCCAUUGCGAAGGCAGCUCACUGGACAGUGCGUGACGCUGAGGUGCGAAAGUGUGGGGAGCAAACCGGAUUAGAUACCCCUGUAGUCC